GCGGGCGUGGCGGAACUGGUAGACGCGCGGGACUCAAAAUCCCGUUCCCCCUAAAGGAGUGUCGGUUCGAUUCCGACCGCCCGCACCA
rnacentral:tRNA from 1 species